rnacentral:rRNA from 1 species
UACGGAGGGUGCGAGCGUUGUCCGGAAUCAUUGGGCGUAAAGGGCGCGUAGGUGGCCCGGUCAGUUCGUGGUGAAAGCGCGGGGCUCAACUCCGCGUUGGCCAUGAAUACUGCUGGGCUUGAGCACUGUAGAGGCAGGCGGAAUUCCGGGUGUAGCGGUGGAAUGCGUAGAGAUCCGGAAGAACACCGGUGGCGAAGGCGGCCUGCUGGGCAGUGGCUGACACUGAGGCGCGACAGCGUGGGGAGCAAACAGG